UGAAUAGAGGCGCGGCUGUCAAGAGUACAACUGAUUUUGGACCGCAUAUCCGUUUUGUCAGAAGGAAAGGGGCAGCUGCCGAAGAGAUGAUCCUGCAAAUCAUCUCUGGGCGUGCGGAGAAUAUCCGUACGACUGUCGCAUCAUUUGCGGAGAGCUAUGGA
rnacentral:ncRNA from 1 species